GACGAACGCUGGCGGCGUGCCUAACACAUGCAAGUCGAACGGGUGAGAGGAGCUUGCUCCUUGAUCUAGUGGCGAACGGGUGAGUAACGCGUGAGAAACCUGCCUUUCAGUGGGGGACAACAGUUGGAAACGACUGCUAAUACCGCAUAAUGUGCCGGGAGGGCAUCCUCCUGGUACCAAAGCUUUAUGUGCUGAAAGAUGGUCUCGCGUCUGAUUGGCUAGAUGGCGGGGUAACGGCCCACCAUGGCGACGAUCAGUAGCCGGUCUGAGAGGAUGAACGGCCACAUUGGGACUGAGAUACGGCCCAGACUCCUACGGGAGGCAGCAGUGGGGAAUAUUGGGCAAUGGGGGAAACCCUGACCCAGCAACGCCGCGUGAAGGAAGAAGGCCUUCGGGUUGUAAACUUCUUUUAGCAGGGACGAAGAACGUGACGGUACCUGCAGAAAAAGCAACGGCUAACUACGUG
rnacentral:rRNA from 1 species